AUGGCCGCCUACGUUGCCGUAAUAUGUUUGUGGUGAAGGAAAAUCUGAUUGUACGCAUGUCUAGUCUAAGUUUUGAAGUUAACAGAUUGCUUGCUGUAUCGAUCUUUUUGUGACGGUAGACUGCGUUCUUGAAUGUCUUCACAGAACAGUGGCCUGGCAAAAGCGAAGUGUUACCAAUGCAUUGUUCAGCUUCAUGGAUGCUUUCAAGGACAUAAUCACUAAGACCACGGAGACUGGAAUAUACAUUAACCUGGAUGUUGGAGAAAGAGAACUGAACUGGCUCUGUGCUGCUUCCAUUGGCAAUCUUGAGUGCUAGCAAUACUCAAUGUUCUGCUUCCAGUACCACAGCAAGUGAGUGGCAUCUCUUUCUGAAGUCCUGUCACACAUAAAAUGUUUUGUCAGCAGGAUAAACUAACAUACUCCAUCUGCAGUACACCGCAGUACUUGGCCCCUAAAGCAAUGAGGGGACAGGGCACAGCAUGUAAUAAUGGCGGUUAGUGAAUGAGACUUCCUAAUAGGAGGGGUGUGUACUAUUUGCUGUCCUGGGCAGUAGUCCUGAGGGAUACUCUGGGGCAGGUCCUCUUGCUUGCAUUGUAGCCUGCUCGGGCUGGAAGAUGCAGCAAUUUUGUGAGUUCUCAUGCUGACGUUGACAUUUUGAAUUUAGCCAACUGCAGAAUCCUAUUAACAGUUUCUAAUACGCAAUCUCUGUGUUAACAAAUGCCCAUAUUUUCUUCAAUUUGUUACUUCAGAUCAUAGAAAAAGUGUAAUAAAAUUGGUUGUAACUGUAAAAGUAAUUAUGUACAUACAACAUUGUUAAGGGAAUUUAUAAUUUCGUUUAUGAUGUGAACUGGACUGAGCUGGCUCAGGACGAGGUUUGCUUCACGGAACACAAAAGAGACAAAUCUUAGGUUUUAACAGAAAACUGGAAUGUCUUGGCAAUUGUGACAAUUUGUCUGCCAUGUUUACUAUUGGCAAGUGACAAACUUGUUUUCCAAAAACACAAAAUAUGUCUUUCAGAUGAGAGAGAGAAAUAUCGCUUCAAUUAAUCUGAUAAGUCAGAGCGAUGAGGAAAUACUUUAAAAGCAGCUUGUACCACUCGUAGCAUACAAAUAAGUAUCGGCACUCAAAGCGUUCUGCCAUGACUUACUGCCAUACUGAAUUUCAUGUGCUCAGAUGCAGUUGAACACCAUUUAAUAGUUCCAUGAGCAUCAAUCAUUCUUCU